UGGGGAAACUCAGGCUAAUACCGCAUACGUCCUACGGGAGAAAGCAGGGGACCUUCGGGCCUUGCGCUAUCGGAUGAGCCUAUGUCGGAUUAGCUGGUUGGUGAGGUAACGGCUCACCAAGGCGACGAUCCGUAGCUGGUCUGAGAGGAUGAUCAGCCACAUCGGGACUGAGACACGGCCCGAACUCCUACGGGAGGCAGCAGUGGGGAAUAUUGGACAAUGGGGGCAACCCUGAUCCAGCCAUGCCGCGUGUGUGAAGAAGGCCUUCGGGUUGUAAAGCACUUUCAGUGGGGAAGGAAGGCCUUGAGGCUAAUACCCUCGAGGAAGGACAUCACCCACAGAAGAAAGCAACGGCUAACUUCCGUGCCACCAGCCGCGGUAAUACGGAGGGUGCGAGCGUUAAUCGGAAUGACUGGGCGUAAAGCGCGCGUAGGCGGCUUGGUAACCCGGUUGUGAAAGCCCCGGGCUCAACCUGGGAAUGGCAUCCGGAACUGUCAGGCUAGAGUGCAGGAGAGGAAGGUAGAAUUCCCGGUGUAGCGGUGAAAUGCGUAGAGAUCGGGAGGAAUACCAGUGGCGAAGGCGGCCUUCUGGACUGACACUGACGCUGAGGUGCGAAAGCGUGGGUAGCAAACAGGAUUAGAUACCCUGGUAGUCCACGCCGUAAACGAUGUCGACUAGCCGUUGGGCUCCUCGAGAGCUUAGUGGCGCAGUUAACGCGAUAAGUCGACCGCCUGGGGAGUACGGGCCGCAAGGUUAAAACUCAAAUGAAUUGACGGGGGCCCGCACAAGCGGUGGAGCAUGUGGUUUAAUUCGAUGCAACGCGAAGAACCUUACUCUACCCUUGACAUCCUCGGAAGCCCGGAAGAGAUUCCUGGUGUGCCUUUCCGGAACCGAGUGACAAGUGCUGCAUGGCCGACCGUCAGCUCGUGUUGGUGAAAUGUUGGGUUAAGUCCCGUAACGAGCGCAACCCUUGUCCCUAUUUGCCAGCGAUUCGGUCGGGAACUCUAGGGAGACUGCCGGUGACAAACCGGAGGAAGGUGGGGACGACGUCAGGUCAUCAUGGCCCUUACGGGUAGGGCUACACACGUGCUACAAUGGUCGGUACAAAGGGUUGCGAGUUCGCGAUGCCGAGCCAAUCCCGAAAAGCCGAUCUCAGUCCGGAUGGGAGUGCGCAACUAGCCUCCGCGAAGUGGGAAUCGCUAGUAAUAGGAAGAGGGAA
rnacentral:rRNA from 1 species